UGAUGAUCUGAGAUCCAAUAGAAUAGGGUUUUACAAGGGUUUGUGUAUUGAUGAAUAAAACUUGGCCUAUCUCCCUAAAGGGGUAUCCCUUUUAUCCUUUUCUUCCUGCUUGCUGGUGACGUAUAACGGCUCUCCCAUGAUUGGACCACGCGUCUCUGCCAUACAGAUAUGGGCGUACGAGGAUAUCGGCGCCUGCUCCAUGCGUAACGGCCUCUGAUUCUCCCC
rnacentral:lncRNA from 1 species